UACGGAGGAUGCAAGCGUUAUCCGGAUUCAUUGGGUUUAAAGGGUGCGCAGGCGGAGUGAUAAGUCAGUGGUGAAAGCCUACAGCUUAACUGUAGAACUGCCAUUGAUACUGUCAUUCUUGAGUAUUGUUGAGGUAGGCGGAAUGUGUCAUGUAGCGGUGAAAUGCUUAGAUAUGACACAGAACACCGAUCGCGAAGGCAGCUCACUAAGUUGUAACUGACGCUCAGGCACGAAAGCGUGGGGAUCAAACAGGAUUAGAUACCCUGGUAGUCCACGCCGUAAACGAUGAUCACUCGAUGUUGGCGAUAUACUGUCAGCGUCUAAGCGAAAGCAUUAAGUGAUCCACCUGGGGAGUACGAUCGCAAGAUUG
rnacentral:rRNA from 1 species